GUUGCUCUCUGAGAAGACGCUCAAUAGAGCACAAAAACCAGCACUCAGAUAAGAAUUCCAACCAUCUCCACAUAUGAAAGUUAAAAUCACAAAGAAGAAAGGACAAUAGCUCUGAAUCAGGAUGAGUUCAUUCUGUCUUAGGAUGGACUCAUGCUCAGUGUUGAGGGGAAAAGGAAGGACAGAGUCUGAGUGCCAGCCUCUACAGUCAGCCUACAGGUCAUCAGGCCGUGGAGUCACAGUGCCAGGAAGGGGAGACAGCAGAGUGGACUAAUGCGCCAACAGCUACAGUGGGACCCUAGUGUCAUAGUGAUCCAUGUACCCAUGCUGCCAGGAAUUGGGUACAUGUGCAAGUGCAGCUGUGUAGGUGAGUGUGCGAUCCCUAGCAAACAU